GACGAACCGUGCGAACGUUGUUCGGAAUCACUGGGCUUAAAGGGCGCGUAGGCGGCAUGCCGAGCCCGGGGUGAAAAGCCCCCCGGCUCAACCCGGGGAAGUGCCUUGGGGACCCGGCGUGCUCGAGGGGGGUAGGGGUCGGCGGGGAACUUCGGGUGGAGCGGUGAAAUGCGUUGAUAUCGAAGGAACGCCGGUGGCGAAAGCGCCGCGCUGGGCCCCUUCUGGC
rnacentral:rRNA from 1 species